rnacentral:misc_RNA from 1 species
CUGAUUCUCAAUGCCAAAUGUCAUGCCAUCAGAGAUGCUCAGAUUCUGGAGAAGAAACAAAUUAAGGGUGAGAUGAUGGAGGAGGAUAAGCGACUGGAUGUGAUGAUGGAAGUGGACAGACAGAACGCCAUCACCAUCCAGGAGGAGAUCGAGAAGAAGAGGAAGGAGGAGAGGCUUCUGGGAGCUGCCAAACUUCUGGACCAGAUUCAGGAGAAUGAACAGGAGAGGCUGUUUGAUUUGGAGAGGAAGGACCAAGAAAAUAUUCAAAUGCAGAAGUAUAUUGAGAAAAUGAUGGAUGAAGAUCGAGUUUCUUUGGACAAGAAACAUGCAGAGCAGAUUUCUCUUAGGGAGGACUUGAACAAAGCCAAUGAAGAUCUUCUCAGACGUCGGGAAAUCAAAAAGGAACAGGAAGUUGCAGAGGAACAAAAGGUUGUGGAGUAUAUGAAGAAGAAAGCUGAAAGAGAAGCUGCCUUUGAGAAGGAACAAGAGAGAAUCAGAAUUGAGAAGGAGAAGGAAACAGCCAGGUUACGAGCUCUCCAAGAGCGAGCUCGUGAUGAGCAGGCUGAGCGAGAUGCUCUUCGAGCUAAGCGAGCACAAGAACAGGCUGAGAGGGAAUGGAGAAAGAAAGAAGCAGAGGAGGCUAGAAAGAAGGGUGAAAUGGAGGCUACACUUAUCCAGGCACGCUCUCAGCAAAUGCAGCAGAAAGAACACUUCCUGGCAGUCCAGGCUCAGCGAGAGCGAGCAGAGUUUGAGAGAGUUCUGAGAGCUCAAAAGGAGUUGGUAGAAAAAGAGAAGAGAGAGGAAGAGGAGGCUAAGAAGAAGAAACUGACUCAUGCUGAUGAGGUCAGGAGGCAGAUUCGUGACAAGGAGCAGGUCCGGAUCUUGGAGAGGAACUCGUUCUUUGAGGAGGGCGUUAAACUAGAUGAAGAGGCCCGAGAGAGGAGACAUAAACUUGAGGAAGUGAAAAAGAAGAAAUUGAGUGAACUUAGGAGUGCUGGUAUUCCAGACAAGUAUUUAACUCAAGUGGAGAGAAAGAUCAACCAACCUCAGCACAUCAGUGCCUAACCCAGAACUCUCUUAAGACAGGAGCAGACUUAUAUCAUCUAUAUUGUGGGGGGAAAGCUGCCACUUCAUGCUUCAUCUGUGAUAUAAUUGUUUACAGUUUAUACCAUUCAGUACUCAUCAGAAUUUUUUUCGUUUAUGAUUUUAUUUCAAUUACUAAGAGAAUUGGAUUUUUAGAACUGAAAGAGACUGGAUGCAUUUACAUGUUACUGAUGAACUACAUUUAGUGAAUGUUAAUUUUGUGUAAUAUUGAAUGUUUUACCUUUGUUUUAUUAAUGUUACCUGCGGUGGUCUACUUUAAAUAGAAUUCUGUCAUGAAUGACCAAGAAUACAAACUCUCCAUAUCAGCAGUGCUAGUAAAUGGUUGUCUGCACUUGUAUCAAGUUCCAGUGUGUCACAAUAUUUUUAGAGCCUCUUCUUGGUCUAACAUGAAUAAUGUCUUAAAUUAUAUGUAAAUAUUGAAUCACCAUUUAAUAUAUAUUUAAUAAAGUCAUUCAGUGAUGUGAAUAAAUUUAUUACUAU